rnacentral:rRNA from 1 species
UGGGGAAUAUUGGACAAUGGGCGAAAGCCUGAUCCAGCAAUGCCGCGUGAGUGAUGAAGGCCUUAGGGUUGUAAAGCUCUUUUACCAGGGAUGAUAAUGACAGUACCUGGAGAAUAAGCUCCGGCUAACUCCGUGCCAGCAGCCGCGGUAAUACGGAGGGAGCUAGCGUUGUUCGGAAUUACUGGGCGUAAAGCGCACGUAGGCGGCGAUUCAAGUCAGAGGUGAAAGCCCGGGGCUCAACCCCGGAACUGCCUUUGAAACUAGAUUGCUAGAAUCCUGGAGAGGUUAGUGGAAUUCCGAGUGUAGAGGUGAAAUUCGUAGAUAUUCGGAAGAACACCAGUGGCGAAGGCGACUAACUGGACAGGUAUUGACGCUGAGGUGCGAAAGCGUGGGGAGCAAACAGG